AUGAGAGGGACAAACCAGUCCCGUGUCUCUGAGUUCCUCCUCCUUGGGCUCUCCAGGCAGCCCCAGCAGCAGCAGCCCCUCUUUGUACUCUUCCUGAGCAUGUACCUGACCACGGUCCUGGGAAACCUGCUCAUCCUCCUGGCCAUUGGCGUGGACUCCCGCCUGCACAUCCCCAUGUACUUCUUCCUCAGCAACCUGUCCUUUGUGGACAUCUGCUUCUCCUCCGCCACUGUCCCCAAGAUGUGGCCAACUAUAUACUCGGGACUCAGACCAUCUUCUUUUCUGGGUGUCUCACACAGAUGUAUUUUCUCUUUGAGCUUGCCGACAUGGACAGUUUCCUCCUGGCUGUGAUGGCCUAUGACUGCUUUGUUGCCAUAUGCCACCCCUUACACUCCUCAACAAAGAUGACCCACCAGCUCUGUGCCCUGCUGGUUGCUGGGUCAUGGGUCUUUGCCAACCUGAAUGUUCUACUGCAUACCCUGCUGAUGGCUCGACUCUCGUUCUGUGCAGACAAUGCCAUCCCCCACUUCUUCUGUGAUGUGACGCCCCUCCUGAAACUCUCCUGCUCCAACACACACCUCAAUGAGGUGAUGAUUCUGACUGAGGGUUCUCUGAUCAUGAUCACUCCAUUUAUUUGCAUCCUGGCUUCAUAUAUCCAUAUUACCUGUGCUGUCCUGAGAGUCCCAUCCACAAAGGGAAAAUGGAAAGCCGCCUCCACCUGUGGCUCCUACCUGGCCGUGGUUUCUCUCUUCUAUGGCACCAUCGUUGCUGUGCAUUUCAACCCUUUAUCCUCCCACUCUUCUGAGAAGGACACCACAGCUACUGUGGUGUACACAGUGGUGACCCCCAUGCCGAACCCCUUCAUCUACAGCCUGAGGAACAGGGACUUGAAAGAGGCCCUAGAAAAAGUGAUGGGCAAGAAGACAUGCUCUUAG